GCUGUGACUCAGGAAGACCAGCUCCCCUCACUGUGCUAGGCAUCACUUCCCUGGUCCCUUUCCUUCCAAGGCCCCAGAGAGGAAGGCAUGGGGUGGGCCCUAGCCCUGCUUCUAGCUUUGCUGCCUCCUGCCAGUCAGAUAACUUCCAACUUGGAAGGGAGAAUGAAGUCAGUCACCGGGAGGACUGAGUCAUCUGCUGUAAUCACCUGUGAUCUUCCUGGAGAAAAUACCAGAUACAUCCACUGGUACCUCCACCAGGAGGGGGAGGCCCCACAGCGUCUUCUGUACUAUGAUCUCUACAACUCCAAAAUGGUAUCGGAAUCAGGAAUCAGUCCAGGAAAGUAUGAUACUUAUACAAUCACAAGCAGGAGCUGGAAAUUGAGAGUGCGAAAUCUAAUUGAAAAUGAUUCUGGGGUCUAUUACUGUGCCACCUGGGACACGCACAGUGGUUCAGACCUGCCCUACACCACACUGAAAACCUGCCUUGUGGCUGCUUCUGCUACACAAGAUAGAGCUGCCCCUCUCAUUUUCUGCCACUGAAUUUCCUGUAUCCUGUACAGAGAGAAACACAGCUUCACUCCCGAUCUCCCGCUAAUAUCACACUCCCCUGGCAGCAGCUGCACCUGUUCCCACCCCUCCCCCAGGACUUUCCUGAACACCAAGCUGCCAUGUCCAGGCCUCAGCUAA